GGGAGUGGAUGAGAUUCGGAUUAAAUGAAAUCGAAUCACUUGGGAUGCUCUUCAUGGCUGGGACGGUUCUCUGUUGCUUGGAAUCCAAAAGAUCUUGGGGAGUGUUUCACGGAUGAAAGAAAGAGCCGGUUUGGCUUUUGGAUUUCCCUCGCUGCCGUUGGGAGCCACGGACGGUUGAAGAUGCUAAGAAGCUCCUGGAAAAGAAGUGGAGGACUCGGCUUGCGACUCUUCUCCUCCCGAUGGUUGCUGGCCUCCUCCUCUUCCGUCGCACGCUCCACGCUUGGAUGAGCUGGGAAGAAACAGGGGAAACG
rnacentral:lncRNA from 1 species